AACGAACGCUGGCGGCAGGCCUAACACAUGCAAGUCGAGCGGACCCUUCGGGGUUAGCGGCGGACGGGUGAGUAACGCGUGGGAAUAUGCCCUUCUCUACGGAAUAGUCCUGGGAAACUGGGGGUAAUACCGUAUACGCCCUUUGGGGGAAAGAUUUAUCGGGGAAGGAUUAGCCCGCGUUGGAUUAGGUAGUUGGUGGGGUAAUGGCCUACCAAGCCGACGAUCCAUAGCUGGUUUGAGAGGAUGAGCAGCCACACUGGGACUGAGACACGGCCCAGACUCCUACGGGAGGCAGCAGUGGGGAAUCUUAGACAAUGGGGGCAACCCUGAUCUAGCCAUGCCGCGUGAGUGAUGAAGGCCUUAGGGUUGUAAAGCUCUUUCAGCUGGGAAGAUAAUGACGGUACCAGCAGAAGAAGCCCCGGCUAACUCCGUG
rnacentral:rRNA from 1 species